rnacentral:rRNA from 1 species
UACAGAGGUCCCAAGCGUUGUUCGGAUUUACUGGGCGUAAAGAGUGUGUAGGCGGUGCUCUAAGUUCGGUGUGAAAUCUCCCGGCUUAACUGGGAGGGUGCGCCGGAAACUGGAGUGCUCGAGCGUGGGAGAGGAAAGCGGAAUUCCUGGUGUAGCGGUGAAAUGCGUAGAUAUCAGGAGGAACACCUGCGGUGUAGACGGCUUUCUGGACCAUUGCUGACGCUGAGACACGAAAGCGUGGGUAGCAAACAGG